GGCUUUUGCGGGAGGUGGGGGAAAGGACAGAGCUGUGCUUGCAGCUGUGCUCUGUCCUUUCCCCCACCUCCCGCAAAAGCC